CCUUCGGGAGGCUGCAGUGGGGAAUAUUGGACAAUGGGGGCAACCCUGAUCCAGCCAUGCCGCGUGUGUGAAGAAGGCCCUCGGGUUGUAAAGCACUUUCAGUGAGGAAGAACGCCUGGUGGUUAAUACCCAUCAGGAAAGACAUCACUCACAGAAGAAGCACCGGCUAACUCCGUGCCAGCAGCCGCGGUAAUACGGAGGGUGCGAGCGUUAAUCGGAAUUACUGGGCGUAAAGCGCGCGUAGGUGGCUUGAUAAGCCGGUUGUGAAAGCCCCGGGCUCAACCUGGGAACGGCAUCCGGAACUGUCAAGCUAGAGUGCAGGAGAGGAAGGUAGAAUUCCCGGUGUAGCGGUGAAAUGCGUAGAGAUCGGGAGGAAUACCAGUGGCGAAGGCGGCCUUCUGGACUGACACUGACACUGAGGUGCGAAAGCGUGGGUAGCAAACAGGAUUAGAUACCCCAGUAGUC
rnacentral:rRNA from 1 species